AGAAGAAGAAUUACACUCCAAAUCAAAACACAGCAAAAGUUUAAGCUUUGAGAAAAUUAAAAUUAAUUUUAAGUUUGUGAAAGAGAGAAAAAUGGCUUCUGGAUGCAAAUGUGGUGACAAUUGCUCAUGUGGAGAUAACUGCAACUGCCAAUCAGGGUCCAUCAUCCUCAAGCAAAGUGGAUGCAGCUGUGGGGAUGGCUGCUCAUGUGACCCAUGCAGCUGCAAGUGAGCCAUGAGAAGGAUGUAUAAAACCCUUAAACACAACAAAAGUGCUUCUCCAUGCAAUAAAUUGAUGAAUAUGUGAUCAAUCUGCAAACUUUUUUUUCUUUAUCCUGCUUUAUUUGAUAAAAUCAAAUAUGGUUAAAUUGGCUUUGAAACUCCAUGUUCAUAUGGAAUUGGGUUUUCUAUGGCUUAUUGAAAUUUAGUAUGAACUAUGUACUAUUUCUUGGUUGUGUGGGGAAACUUAGGGCUGAUAAUAUUCAUCAAAAGUUUCAAGUUUGUGUUUGAAUUUGUGUUCUAUAUGAAUAUUUGGUUGUCGUGUCAUCUUCGUAUUUAUAAUUCUUCACU